ensembl:misc_RNA Metazoa_SRP Metazoan signal recognition particle RNA
GCCGGGUGUGGUGGUGCACACCUGUAGUCCCAGCUACUCAGGAGGCUGAGGCACGAGAAUUGCUUGAACCUGGGAGGUGGAGGUUGCAGUGAGCCGAGAUAGCACCACUACACUCCAGCCUGGGUGACAGAGCAAGACUGUGUCUCAA